rnacentral:pre_miRNA from 16 species
GGCGAUGGAUACUAGACUCGAGGUCGAACAAGGGUGUGUGACCCUACAAUCCGAAACGCGAGACUUAAUGCUUCGCCUGCGAUUGUAGAGUCAUACACCUCUGCUAGCCUUCCGGUCUUCCGCUCUAA